UCNGGCUACCAUGCAAGUCGAGGGGCAGCAUGGUCUUAGCUUGCUAAGGCCGAUGGCGACCGGCGCACGGGUGAGUAACACGUAUCCAACCUGCCGUCUACUCUUGGACAGCCUUCUGAAAGGAAGAUUAAUACAAGAUGGCAUCAUGAGUCCGCAUGUUCACAUGAUUAAAGGUAUUCCGGUAGACGAUGGGGAUGCGUUCCAUUAGAUAGUAGGCGGGGUAACGGCCCACCUAGUCUUCGAUGGAUAGGGGUUCUGAGAGGAAGGUCCCCCACAUUGGAACUGAGACACGGUCCAAACUCCUACGGGAGGCAGCAGUGAGGAAUAUUGGUCAAUGGGCGAGAGCCUGAACCAGCCAAGUAGCGUGAAGGAUGACUGCCCUAUGGGUUGUAAACUUCUUUUAUAAAGGAAUAAAGUCGGGUAUGNAUACCCGUUUGCAUGUNCUUUAUGAAUAAGGAUCGGCUAACUCCGUGCCAGCAGCCGCGGUAAUACGGAGGAUCCGAGCGUUAUCCGGAUUUAUUGGGUUUAAAGGGAGCGUAGAUGGAUGUUUAAGUCAGUUGUGAAAGUUUGCGGCUCAACCGUAAAAUUGCAGUUGAUACUGGAUAUCUUGAGUGCAGUUGAGGCAGGCGGAAUUCGUGGUGUAGCGGUGAAAUGCUUAGAUAUCACGAAGAACUCCGAUUGCGAAGGCAGCCUGCUAAGCUGCAACUGACAUUGAGGCUCGAAAGUGUGGGUAUCAAACAGGAUUAGAUACCCUGGUAGUCCACACGGUAAACGAUGAAUACUCGCUGUUUGCGAUAUACGGCAAGCGGCCAAGCGAAAGCGUUAAGUAUUCCACCUGGGGAGUACGCCGGCAACGGUGAAACUCAAAGGAAUUGACGGGGGCCCGCACAAGCGGAGGAACAUGUGGUUUAAUUCGAUGAUACGCGAGGAACCUUACCCGGGCUUAAAUUGCAGAUGAAUUACGGUGAAAGCCGUAAGCCGCAAGGCAUCUGUGAAGGUGCUGCAUGGUUGUCGUCAGCUCGUGCCGUGAGGUGUCGGCUUAAGUGCCAUAACGAGCGCAACCCUUGUUGUCAGUUACUAACAGGUUCCGCUGAGGACUCUGACAAGACUGCCAUCGUAAGAUGUGAGGAAGGUGGGGAUGACGUCAAAUCAGCACGGCCCUUACGUCCGGGGCUACACACGUGUUACAAUGGGGGGUACAGAGGGCCGCUACCACGCGAGUGGAUGCCAAUCCCAAAAACCUCUCUCAGUUCGGACUGGAGUCUGCAACCCGACUCCACGAAGCUGGAUUCGCUAGUAAUCGCGCAUCAGCCACGGCGCGGUGAAUACGUUCCCGGGCCUUGUACACACCGCCCGUCAAGCCAUGGGAGCCGGGGGUACCUGAAGUGCGUAACCGCGAGGAGCGCCCUAGGNAAUU
rnacentral:rRNA from 1 species